rnacentral:lncRNA from 1 species
GCAGGUGGUGCGGAGAAGAAAGUUUAAAGAGGUGCGUGGAUAAGCUCCGUAUAUUUAUGCCCAUAAAAUUGUGGAAGAAAAUACAAUAAAUGUUUGGUAGAGGUUGUCUCUGAGUGGUAAUUAUGUUAUUUUUAUUUUUGUCUUAGAUUUUUCCACAAUGAACAUUUAUUUUCAUAAGAACAAAAAAAGACAAAAGUAAAAAUAACUAAUGCUUAUAUAACAUUUACUCUGCGCCAGGUGUUGCAAAAUGCUUUUGUUGUUGGCUGCAGCGUGCAGCGGCUUGAUGUGGGAUCUCAGUUCGCAGACCAGUAGCAGUGAAGCUCUGAGUCCUGACUGCUGUACCACCAGGGAACUCCCGAUGUAUUAACUGAUUUAAUUCUCACGCAGUCCUAGCAGAAAGUAUCAGUACUCUCAUCAUUUUAUAGAUGAAGAAAGUGAGGCACAGAAAGGUUCCCAAGGUCCCAGAGCCAGUUAAUUACAGAGCCAAGAUGAUAACUGAGACCAUGGCUCCAGAGUCCUUAGGAAAGUAGGUCUCACAGCUUAUCAGGAACUUUUCCUCUCUUUUCUCCUUGUGGAAAAACAGAUUCUUAAAGUUCCCUAAACACCACCUCCUACAUGAAGUCUUCCUGGUCUACCCAUCUUCCUUCAUAGCUGUUAGCUCCUUCCAUGUCAGUACUUCCUUUUUGCAACUGAGUUGCAGUUUGUGCCACACAAGUAGGUUAAGUUGAUUUUGUGUGUGUGUGUGCCAUUUUAACUAUUUUUAAGCAUGCAGUUCAUUGUCAUUAACUACAUUCAAAAUGUUGCGCAACCAUCACUGCUGUAUGUUUCCAAAACUUUUUCAUGAGUGCAAGCAGAAACCCUGUUAACUAUUAAGCAAUAACUCCCCAUUCUUCUUUCUCCCCAUUCCUUGGUAACCCCUAACUUACUUUCCGUCUCUAUGGAUUUGCCUGUUCUAGAUAUUUCAUGUCAGCUGAAUUUUACAGUAUAUGUCCUUUUGUGUCUGGCUUAUACUUAGCAUAGUGUUUUCAAAGUUCAUCCAUGUUGUAUGUGUCAGAAAUUCAUUAUGGCUGAUUAAUGUUCUGUUGCAUGGAUAUACCACAUUUUGUUUAUCCAUUCAUCCGUCAAUAAACACUUGGGGAGUUCCCGUUGCAGCUCAGCGAUAAUGAACCCAACUAGUAUCCACGAGGAUCAGGGUUCAAUCCCUGGCCCCGCUCAGUGGGUUAAGGAUCUGGUGUUGCCGAGAGUUUCAGUAUAGGUUGAAGACGUGGCUCAGAGCCUGAGACAUGGGUCAGAUGCUGUGGCUGUGACCUGCAUCUGCAGCUCCAAUUCGACCCUUAGCCUGGGAACUUCCAUAUACUGCAGGUGCAGCCCUAAAAAGGAAAAAAAGACCAACAAGAAAAACCACUUGGGUUGUUUCUACCUUUUGGCUAAUGUAGAUAAUGCUGUAAAGAACACUGGCAUUUAGUGAUCUAUUUUGAGUUCCUCUUUUUUGUUUGUUUGUUUUUGUUUUUUGUCUUUUUGCCUUUUCUAUAGGGCUGUUCCCGCGGCAUAUGGAGGUUCCCAGGCUGGUGGCUACAGCUCCCACUCGAUCCCUAGCUUGGGAACCUCCAUAUGCCGCGGGAGCAGCCCAAGAAAUAGCAAAAAGACAAAAAAAAAAAAACCAAAAAAGACCUUGGUGCUGACUGUUGCUGCAGCCUAAAUGCAGCCCUCCUCUCAAUCCUCGACUGGCUCUUUCCCAUCCUCAGGUUUCAGUUCAAUUCUUUUAAUUUUUUAUCAAUUUGUUUCUUUUAUUUAUUUUUUGCUUUUUUGAGGGGCACCUGCAGCAUAUGGAAGUUUCCAGGCAAGGGGUCCAUUCGGAGCUGCAGCUGCUGGCCUACACCACAACAGCAGCAAUGCCAGAUCCUUAACCACUGAAAGAGGCCAGGGAUCGCACCCAAUCCUCAUGGAUAUCAGUUGGGUUCGUAACCCGCUGAGCCACAACGAGAACUCUCAGAUUUCAAUUCAAAUGACACCUCUGGGAGUUCUCUUAUGGUGCAGUGGGUUAGUUAAGGAUCCAGGGUUGUCAGUGCUGCCACUCGGAUCACUGAUGUGGCUUGGAUUCGAUCCCUGGCCCAAGAACUUCCACAUGCCCUGAGCACAGCCAAAACAAAGAAAUGCACUUCUUCAGUGAGUCCUUUCACCACCCUCUAAACCAGUAGCGCUGAUCCUACAGUCACUCUCUAUGUCAUCCCUCUUUUAUUUUCCUUGUAGCACUUAGCACUCUUUGAGAUAGUUUUCUUUACUUGGUGAACUUGUUCAGAGACUGUUUUACUAGAUAUGAGCUCCAGAAGUGUGCACGCCCUGUCUAUCCUGUUUGCUGCUCUGUGCAAACAGUAGUGCUUAGUACACAGUAGGCCUUCAGCAAUUACUAGAUAAAUGAGUGAAUGAAUGCCCGUAUGCAUUUUUUUUUUUUNNNNNNNUUGCUAUUUCUUGGGCCGCUCCCGCAGCAUAUGGAGGUUCCCAGGCUAGGGGUUGAAUCGGAGCUGUAGCCACCGGCCUACGCCAAAGCCACAGCAACUCAGGAUCCGAGCCGCAUCUGCAAUCUACACCACAGCUCACGGCAACGCUGGAUUGUUAACCCACUGAGCAAGGGCAGGGACCGAAUCCGAAACCUCAUGGUUCCUAGUCGGAUUCGUUAACCACUGCGCCACGACGGGAACUCCCCCGUAUGCAUUUUUGAAUCAUUUUCGGAUGUCUGUCAAGUCUGUAUGUUAAUGUGUGCUCAACUCAAAUAGGCCUUAUGUCAACUCUGGCUCCCUCCACUCUUCCCUGAGCUCUGGAGGGCAGGAACCAUGUCCAAUCCAUCAUUGCACCUUGGAGCAGUUCUGCAAGUGCACUGCCUACAGUGAAGGGCCAGAAUUUUAAAUUUCCAGUCCACUGCAGACUGGUACUUUUGAAAAAUACAGUAACAAUGUUAGGGAAAUGUCAGCUUGCUAGAAAACUUUUUGAAAGCUUAUUCUCGAUUUCUGUGCUUAUAGUGUCCUGAGCAGGUGAUGAACAGUUUACAGUUUGAGUCACACUGCCUUAGAGGUCCGCACAAUACAUGGUAGGUAGAUGUCAGUGUUUAGAACACUGACUUUUUCUUUCUUCCUCCCUCUCUUUCUUUUCUUCCUUCCCUUCCUUCCUUUCUUCUUUCACCACCCCACAACACAUGGAGUUCCCAAGCCAGGGAUCAGAUCUGAGCUGCAGUUGCAACCCAGGCCACAGCUUCGGCAAUGCAGGCUCCUUUAACCCACUGUGCCAGGGUGAGGAUCAAACCUGCAUUCCAGGGCUACAGAGAUGCUGCCCAUCCUGUUGCACCAUAGCAGGAACUCCUGCCUUGACCUCUUAGAAAACCAAGACAUCAUCUACAUGGGAUUAAAGACAAAGAAGGAGGGGAACAGGGGAACAGACUUCGUUUAUUGCAAAACAUCUAGUAAAUGCCAACUGUUAGAUUGAUGCUGUCCACUGGAAAUUUUUUUUUUUAAGGCCGCACCUGCUGCAUAUGAAGUUCCCAGGCUAGGGGCCCAAUCGGAGCUGUAGCUUCCGGCCUUUGCCACAGCCAUAGCAACUUGGGAUCUGAGCCACAAUGCAACUUACACCACAGCUCACGGCAACGCCAGAUCUUUAAUUCAUGGAGCAAGGCCGGGGAUCGAACCCACAUCCUCAUGGAUACUAGUCCAGUUCAUUACCGCUGAGCCACAACAGAACUCCUGCAACUUUUUGCGGCAAUGUAGAUGUUUUAUAACUGUGCUAUCCAAUAUGAUAGCCACUAGCCACAUGUGUCUGUUGAACACUUGUAAUGUGGCAAGUCAAGGAAUCAAAUUUUCUGUUUUUAUUUUAGUUAAUUUAAAUAGCCACAUAUAACUAUUAGCAAACACUUUUUUUUUUCUUUUUUGUAUGUACCUGCUGCAUGUGAAAGUUCCCAGACCAGGGAUCGAACCCACGUCACAGUUGCAGCCUUUGCCACAGCUAUGGCAAUGCCAGACCCUUAACCUACAAGGGAACUUCCUAAUGGCAAAUACUUUUGAUAGUGCAGUUAUAACAAGUUAUAUCUUUGAAAACAAAAUGCCUCCAUCUUUAGCACCUGAUAUCCAAUCAGUUUCCAAGAUGUGUCCGCUCUUCUGCCUAAAUGUUGGUCCAGUCAGACCUUUCUCCAUCCCCCAACUCAGUGGAUAGUAAUCCUGCUCAGAGUCAUGCAUCCUUGAUUUCUCCCUCUCCUUAAAUACUCCCUCUCCCUAAAUAUUCCCUCUGCAACCUCCAAUUUAUCACCACGUCCUCUCAGUAUUAUCUCUUAAGCACCUUACAGUCCCCUCUAAUUCUCCAUCUCUACCACCACCAUUACCUCUCACCUAGACAGUAGCCCCCAAACCAGCUUCCUUGCAUCAGGUCUUGCUCACCAUUCCCAGCCCCUAGUGCUCUUCGGAAAACCCUUGAGUGGCUCCCCAUUAUUUAUUAGGAUAAAGACAAACCUCUUCCUGAGCCUACAACCCCCUCCAUAGUCCUUGGUCUGGCCCUAUUCCUACUGCUGACUAGGUCAAACCCUUCCUUCCUUCCUUCCUUCUCACUCUCUUUCUCGCUUGCUUGCUUUCUUUUUUUUUUUUUUUUUUUUUUUUUUCAUUUUUUCAUAGAAGGCUGUCUUGAUCAAUGCAGUUCUUCUUUGAGCAUCAGGCAUAGUUUCUUUCUUUUUUUUUUUAGUUUUUAGGGCCGUACCUGUGGCAUAUGGAGGUUCCCAGGCUAGGGGUCAAAUCGGAGCUAGAGCUGCUGGCCUACAUCUCAGCCACAGCAAAGGCAGAACGGAACCGCAUCUGCAACCUACACCACAACUCACAGCAACGCUGGAUCCUUAACCCACUGAGCAAGGCCAGGGAUCAAACCUGCAACCUCAUGGUUAUUAGUUGGAUUCGUUUCUGCUGCACCAUGAUGGGAACUCCAGGCACAGUUUCAACUUUACUUUCAUUUGUAUUGAGUUGAUUAAUGGUCUUCCACACUCCCCCAACUAGACUACCAGCUCUGUGAGGACCAAGAAUGGGCUGGUUUUGCUCAACAUUUUAUUCCCCUGCCUCACACCUGGUGAUGAUGUUCAAUAAAUAUUUGUUAUAACGGCAGUUUAGGGAGUUCCCUGGUGGCUCAGCAGGUUAAGCCAGCAUUGUCACUGCUGUAGCUCUGGUUACUGCUGUGGUGAAGAUUUGAUCCCUGGUCCAGAAAGCUCUGNAAAAAAAAAAAAAAAAAAAAAAAAAAAAAAA